AUGCAGGAGCGCCUCGACGUAUACGUCGUCGAAGAUGCGGCCGAGGAAGAUGAUGUACCGGCUCCUGCAUAUGAUGUCGUCGUGCUCAUUGCCCAGGCCGAGGAGGUCCUGCGUGCGACGCAACAACAACUCGACCAGGCGGUGCUAGCCGCGUCUCUGUCGACGAUGCAUGCAGCCAAGCGCCGGGCAGCUGAAGAAGAGGCUGCAACUCGAGAGCGGAGGAGGGCGGCUACUUUGCGUGUAGCGGUCACCGUCGAGGCGGAAGGUGUGGGACCUGACAUCGUCAUCCUAUCCUCCUCUGACGAAGACUAA
rnacentral:rRNA from 1 species